AUUGAACGCUGGCGGCAGGCCUAACACAUGCAAGUCGAGCGAGCGGCGGACGGGUGAGUAAUGUAUGGGAAACUGCCCGAUGGAGGGGGAUAACUACUGGAAACGGUAGCUAAUACCGCAUACCAUCAGAUGUGCCCAGAUGGGCUUAGCUAGUAGGUGGGGUAAUGGCUCACCUAGGCGACGAUCCCUAGCUGGUUUGCGAGGAUGACCAGCCACACAGGGACUGAGACACGGUCCAGAAUCGUACGGGAGGCAGCAGUGGGGAAUUUUGCACAAUGGGCGCAAGCCUGAUGCAGCAAUGCCGCGUGUAUGAAGAAGGCCUUAGGGUUGUAAAGUACUUUCAGCGGGGAAGCGUUACCCGCAGAAGAAGCACCGGCUAACUCCGUGCCAGCAGCCGCGGUAAUAC
rnacentral:rRNA from 1 species